GGUGAUUAUUGCAAUAGGGCUCACCUCUUCCCAUUCCGAACAGAGAAGUUAAGCCUAUUAGCGCAGAUGGUACUAGCAAUUGCUGGGAGAGUAUGUCAUCGCC
rnacentral:rRNA from 1 species